rnacentral:rRNA from 1 species
UACGAAGGGUGCAAGCGUUACUCGGAAUUACUGGGCGUAAAGCGCACGUAGGCGGCUUGGUAAGUUAGAGGUGAAAGCCUGGAGCUCAACUCCAGAAUUGCCUUUAAGACUGCCGAGCUAGCAGGUGAGAGAGGUGAGUGGAAUUCCGAGUGUAGAGGUGAAAUUCGUAGAUAUUCGGAAGAACACCAGUGGCGAAGGCGGCUCACUGGCUCAUACUGGACGCUGAGGUGCGAAAGCGUGGGGAGCAAACAGG